rnacentral:rRNA from 1 species
GGCUGUAGCCGUGCUGGACUGAAUGCACCCAGAAAAAUCUAAUCUUGAAAGCUAAGCAAUCCCAGGCCUAGGUGGUACUUGGAGGACAGACCAUCUUUGAAUCCCAAGUGCUAUAGGCA